GAGUAAAGAUUUCGGUCGCUUUGGGAGGAGCUCGCUUACUAUCAGCUUGUUGGUAGGGUAAUGGCCUACCAAGGCUAUGACGGUUAGGGGGUGUGAGAGCAUGACCCCCAGCAUUGGCACUGAAACACUGGCCAAACACCUACGGGUGGCUGCAGUCGAGAAUCUUCCACAAUGGGGGAAACCCUGAUGGAGCGAUGCUGCGUGCGGGAUGAAGGCCUUCGGGUUGUAAACCGCUUUUGUAGGGGACGAAAUUUUUGACGGUACCCUUUCGAAUAAGAGGUUGCUAACUCUGUGCCAGCAGCAGCGGUAAUACAGAGACCUCAAGCGUUAUCCGGAUUUACUGGGCGUAAAGCGUCUGUAGGGGGUUUAUUAAGUUCCAAGUAAAAUUUCAAGGCUCAACUUUGAAUUCGCUUGGAAAACUAAUAAACUGGAGUCUAGCAGAGGUGCAUGGAACUUGUGGUGUAGGAGUGAAAUCCGUUGAUAUCACAAGGAACACCAAAGGCGAAGGCAUUGCACUGGGCUAGCACUGACCCUGAGAGACGAAAGCGUGGGGAGCAAAACGGAUUAGAUACCCGUGUAGUCCACGCCCUAAACGAUGAAUGCUAAAUGUUCGGGGAUUCGACCCCCUGGGU
rnacentral:rRNA from 1 species